rnacentral:rRNA from 1 species
GGUAACUCCGGGCCAGGAGCGGCGGGAAGACGGAGGGUGCAAGUGUUAUCCGGGUUCACUGGGUUUAAAGGGUGCGUAGGUGGAUUAGUAAGUCAGUGGUGAAAUCUCCGGGCUUAACCCGGAAACUGCCAUUGAUACUAUUAGUCUUGAAUACCGUGGAGGUCAGCGGAAUAUGUCAUGUAGCGGUGAAAUGCUUAGAUAUGACAUAGAACACCAAUUGCGAAGGCAGCUGGCUACACGAAUAUUGACACUCAGGCACGAAAGCGUGGGGAUCAAACAGGAUUAGAUACCCUAGUCGUC